rfam:Hordeum vulgare subsp. vulgare, WGS project CAJW01000000 data, contig: morex_contig_74462
AAAGUGUUACCUCCGUCCCAAAUUACUUGUCUUAGAUUUGUCUAGAUAUAGAUGUAUCUAACACUAAAACAUGUCUAGAGACAUCCGUAUCUAGACAAAUUUAAGAGAAGUAAUUCGGAAAGGAAGGAGUAUUUC